rnacentral:rRNA from 1 species
AGUUUGAUCCUGGCUCAGGAUGAACGCUGGCGGCGUGCCUAAUACAUGCCAGUCGAACGGAUGGAUUACGGGCUUGCUCUUAUGAAGUUAGCGGCGGACGGGUGAGUAUCACGUGGGUAACCUGCCCAUAAUACUGGAUAUGUCCGGGAAACCGGGGCUAAUACCGGAUAACAUUUUGGACCGCAUGGUUCGCGUUUGAAACGCGGCUUCGGCUGUCACUUAUGGCUGCUCUCGCGUCCCAUUAGCUUGUUGCUGAGGUAACGGCUAAGCAAGUCCACGAUAGCCGCCCUGCGAGGGUGAGCGGCCACACUGGGACUGAGACACGCCCCAGACUCCUACGGGAGGCAGCAGUAGGGAAUCUUCCGCAAUGGAAGAAAGUCUGACGGAGCAACGCCGCGUGAGUGAUGAAGGCUUUCGGGUCGUAAAACUCUGUUGUUAGGGAAGAACAAGUGCUAGUUGAAUAAGCUGGCACCUUGACGGUACCUAACCAGAAAGCCACGGCUAACUACGUGCCAGCAGCCGCGGUAAUACGUAGGUGGCAAGCGUUAUCCGGAAUUAUUGGGCGUAAAGCGCGCGCCGAUGGUUUCUUUAAGUCUAUGUGAAAGCCCAAGGCUCAACCGUGGAGGGUCAUUGGAAACUGGGAGACUUGAGUGCAGAAGAGGAAAGUGGAAUUCCAUGUGUAGCGGUGAAAUGCGUAGAGAUAUGGAGGAACACCAGUGGCGAAGGCGACUUUCUGGUCUGUAACUGACACUGAGGCGCGAAAGUGUGGGAACAGGAUUAGAUACCCUGGUAGUCCACGCCUUAAACGAUGAGUGCUAAGUGUUAGAGGGUUUCCGCCCUUUAGUGCUGAAGUUAACGCAUUAAGGACUCCGCCUGGGGAGUACGGCCGCAAGGCUGAAACUCAAAGGAAUUGCCGGGGGCCCGCACAAGCGGUGGAGCAUGUGGUUUAAUUCGAAGCAACGCGAAGAACCUUACCAGGUCUUGACAUCCUCUGACAACCCUAGAGAUAGGGCUUCUCCUUCGGGAGCAGAGUGACAGGUGGUGCAUGGUUGUCGUCAGCUCGUGUCGUGAGAUGUUGGGUUAAGUCCCGCAACGAGCGCAACCCUUGAUCUUAGUUGCCAUCAUUUAGUUGGGCACUCUAAGGUGACUGCCGGUGACAAACCGGAGGAAGGUGGGGAUGACGUCAAAUCAUCAUGCCCCUUAUGACCUGGGCUACACACGUGCUACAAUGGACGGUAC